UGAUCCACCGGCCUCAGUCUCCCACCAAAGUGCUGGGAUUACAGGAGUGAGCCACCGCUCCCGGCCGAUUGUGGUUUUAAAAACAACCUGAAGUGGAAAAAAACCCACGAGCUUCACUUUCAAGCAUAGAGUAGGAUGCAGGGAUUGGGUGGCAUUGGAAAGCUUCAGAAAGUUCCUUCUUGGAUGCAUGGUGCAAUGAGACCCCCCACAGACUAAGGGUCAGGAAGAGAAAACAAUUUACUAUUCAGAUGAUGAGAUAGGGGUCCAGCCUCUGCAGUGUAGUCAGUGAAUGAAUAAUAAAAAGGGGGUUGUGUGGCCUGGGGCUGCUCUUGCUUCCUCUGGGUCCUCAGUUUCCCCAUCUGUAAAACUAAGGGACAGACCAAACUGCAUGAUCCUUAACUGGGGCUGAGGCUACAGCCUUAGGCUUCCCGGGUGCGGAUCUUGAUAUUCCCUGGGCACAGCGCCUGAGCACAGAUUCCUCUGUGGGGCAAUGGACUCAUCUCCCUGGGAACCAUGCUGCCAUGCCGUAAGUAUCUGCCCAAGCAAGCAGCUCUGAGCCCUCACCUGAAGGUUCAUCUUUGGCAGUGGGAUUCCUUGGAAAGAAAGCUGCCCCUUAACCCCGGGGGCUGCCAUGGGGUGCCCACAUAGCAGGGCUGCUAUAUUUUUUUCUUAUCCCUGGAGAGCAGCUCAAUUCAUGUCCAGUAAACACAAACCCAGAGGCCCUUUCUUGAUAAACGCUGCAGAUACAACUGAAAAACUGGCUCAGAUCUUCAUCUUGCAAGUGCAGCUGCUGCUUCAGACAUGGUGCUGCCCCCAGUCCUAUGGGGAUUCAACUCAUAGACUCAUGUGAGCACACGUGUAACCCAUGGCACCCUCAAGGUCUGGGACAGCAGGCCAGAGUGGCUCUCUCUGCCUCCCAAGGCUGCUGGAGAAGUCGCUUGGGGCAGAUGUCGGGGAGGGGGGGGGGGUCACCAAAGGGAGGGGGAUUCACCACCAGCAUGACCAAGAUCAUUCCUAGAAGGUAAGGAACAACCUACUGCCAGGCUUUCUGUGGCUUUCAGGAAGCCCUUGGAUGCCUGUCCGUUAAAAGAGGAGUCAUUCAAGCCCUUCACGAAUGCGGGUGCCACAGUGGCCUUCAGAGGAGGGCUCACGGCCCUUCCUGACGUCCCCGUGGUGCUUGGCUCCCCCGCCCUCUGCAGUCUCGUCCGGAACUCUGACUGCUGUCCUGCUCCUUUCAGUGGUUCUGUGGCAUUGCCCUUCUCAGUCCAGCCUGAGCUCCUAGGCAGCAAGGCUUCCCCUCCGACCCCCAGCAGCCUUCACCCGCCUGCCCUGGGGGCUUUGUUCCUGCCUCUGGGACCCCGGGCUAUAACCCUGCCUCCAGGAGCCUUCGUCACCUGCUCCCAGGGUCUCCCUCCCAGCAGAGCCAUCCUGGCUGCCCUCAGGCUGUGGCUCCCACCAGAAGCUGACAGACUCCAGCAGAGCCAGAAAUGGCCCCCUUGGCGGUUCCACCUGGCCCUCUCUUCCGUUAACAAGAACGCGUCCCGAGUUGUUGCUCGUUGUUACCGCUGUGCAGCAGUUUCCAAAGAAAGAGGCAGCCUGGAAACAGCUGUUAAAGCUCUGAGGGAAGGUGCAGGAGCAGAGCUGGGUGCGCUCUGCCUGGUGAGUUCCAACAAAAUAGGAUGUCGGUUGGUGGAGAAGAAGGAAAAGUGCCUCUGAAGUGUUCUUGAGAAGGUCGUGGUUGCUUCUCAGAAAGGGCAUUUACCAUGGACCACGCAGAAUUUCCCAGCUGGGCGUCUGGGGCGUGGGGAACAUGCUGUUGAGCACAGGGGCAUCUGAGAGCAUUCGGAGACUGCUGGCCUUCACCCACCUCACACAGCCUCAGGUGCCUGGUGUGCUCUCCUCUCCAGAUGGCCGUAUGGCCAGGGCUUCUUGUGCCCUUGGGCUGUGCAGGAGUAAAAUCUCCUUUCCUCCCCACAGGAAGCCAUGUGAGCUUCAGCGGCCGUUUUGAUUUGAGCCUAUGAAUCAGACGCUGGCCAGCUGACCCUCCAUAGCCCCUGCCUACGCCUAGGGAAGGACCGUGGGGUCAGCCAUGCUGCUGGUCAGGUGCAGUUUCUCCUGAGCCUAAAUGUCCUGGACCCCAGAACUGGCGGCUCAUGUGGCCCCGCAGGUGGACACAGAAGGGUUUGGCUGCAAUCCACAGUUUGGCCUCCCGAAGUGCUGGGAUUACAGGUGUGAGCCACCGCGUCCAGCCAGGUUCGUUCUUUUCAUGUUGCUGAGUUUCAGGAGUUCUCCAUAUAUUCUGUAUAUUAAUCUCUUAUCAGAUGCAUGAUUUGCAAAUAUGUUCUCCCAUUCUGCUGGUUAUGUUUUGCUCUGUUGAUGUUGCCUUUUGGUGCACAAAACUUUUAAAUAUUUAUGAAGUCCAAUUUGCCUACUUUUUCUUUUGUUGCCUGUGCUUUUGGUAUCAUAUCCAAGCAGCCGUGGUUAAACCCAACGGUGUGAGCUCACACUGUAAACAAGUCUUUGUGUUGCCCACUUAGUGCCCCUUUGUUCGCAUUUGGUGCUUUGUGUCCAGUGACCCUCAAGCACAGUGCUGACGUGCUGUCGGAUGCUCGAGAGUGCUUCCAUGUGCCUUGUGGAGAAAAUACACGUGUUCGACCAGCUUUGUUCAGGCGUGAGUUACAGUGCUGUUGGCUGUUAUUUCAGCGUUAAUGAACCAAUGACAUACGUUAAAUAAGGGUGUCUCUAAACAGAAAUUCACAUAAAACAAGAUUACGUAUUUCUCAGAUGACAAAAAUAUUGUGGCCAUAGGCUCAUAAGAACCUCAUCCUCUAUUUAUCCUGCGAGCAGCAGUUCGGUAUUCCCUAAUUCAGUGUUUGUGGUGAGUUUAUAGAACGUAACUCCUGUGAUUAACAAGAAUUGAGUCUAUCUGUCAUCAUCUAAUAGAAAAUAUGAAAAAUUAUUUGAAUGCACACUUCACAAAAGAAGCUAUACAAAUAGCCAAUAAUGACACAAAAAAUUGUCCAACGUCAUUAAUUGUUGGGGAAAUGCGUAUUAAAACCUCAAAAGGCUACCACUACGUACCCAUAAGAAUGGCUAAAAUCUUAAAAGAUUGAUAAUAGAAGAUGUGGAGAAACUGGAACUCUCAUACAUUUUUGGUGGGAAUGGAAAACGGUACGACCAUUUCGGAAACCAUUUUGAUGGUUUCCUAUAAACCUAAGAUUCACUGACAAUUUGACUUUGCCACUCUACAACUAGAUAUGCCCACACAGAGACUUUUACGUGAAUAUUCCUAGCAGCUUUAGUCAUAAUAACUAAAACUGAACCAAGCCAAAUGUCCAUUGGCAGAUGGAUGAAUAAAUAAAGACAUAUUCAUGCAAUGGGUUACUGGGGGAAAACAGCAAUAAGAAGAAAUGAACUCUGAAGUGCUCAAAACAUGAAUGAAUUUCAUGCACAUCAUGCUGGACAAAAGAAUGCGGGCACCAUGUACACCGUGGAUGAACAUACCAUGUAAGAUUUUAUUUAUAUAAAACGCUAGAAAUGACAAAUCUACUCCAUAGCAAAGAAAGUAGAUUAGUGGUUGCCUGGGACUGAGGGGUGAGGAUGGUGGGGAUUGACUGGGAAAGGCACAGGAACUAUCUUACGUGAUGGAAAUGUUCUUUCUUUUGAUUCUCAUGGUUGUCACAUGCAUGCAUGUAUGUGCCAAACUUAUCAAAAUGUAUGUGGAAAACAGUUGUCUUUUAUUAAAUGCAAAUUGUGCCUCAAUAA